GGAUUUGGUUUAGGUUAUAGGUUAUAGGUUUUUGGAUUUGAGAAUGGGUUCAGGUUUAGGUUAUAGGUUUUGGUUUAGGUUAUAGGUUUUGAUAUAGGUUAUAGGUUAUAGGUUUAUGUUAAGGUUUAGGUUUAGGUUAUAGGUUUUGGGAUUUGAGAAUGAGUUCGGGUUUAGGUUAUAGGUUUUGGUUUAGGUUAUAGGUUUUGGUUUAGGUUAUAGGUUAUAGGUUUAGGUUAAGGUUUAGGUUUAGGUUAUAGGUUUUGGGAUUUGAGAAUGGGUUCGGGUUUAGGUUAUAGGUUUUGGUUUUGGUUUAGGUUUAGGUUAUAGGUUUUUGGAUUUGAGAAUGGAUUAUGGUUUAGGUUAUAGGUUUUGGUUUAGGUUAUAGGUUAUAGGUUUAGGUUAAGGUUUAGGUUUAGGUUUAGGUUAUAGGUUUUGAGAUUUGAGAA